CAGCUCGAGAGUUUGAUCCUGGCUCAGGACGAACGCUGGCGGCGUGCUUAACACAUGCAAGUCGAGCGGAAAGGCCCUUCGGGGUACUCGAGCGGCGAACGGGUGAGUAACACGUGAGUAACCUGCCCCGAACUUUGGGAUAACCCUCGGAAACGGGGGCUAAUACCGAAUACGACUUCCUGCCGCAUGGCAUGGACGUGGAAAGUUUUUCGGUUCGGGAUGGACUCGCGGCCUAUCAGCUUGUUGGUGGGGUAAUGGCCUACCAAGGCGACGACGGGUAGCCGGCCUGAGAGGGCGACCGGCCACACUGGGACUGAGACACGGCCCAGACUCCUACGGGAGGCAGCAGUGGGGAAUAUUGCACAAUGGGCGGAAGCCUGAUGCAGCGACGCCGCGUGAGGGAUGACGGCCUUCGGGUUGUAAACCUCUUUCAGCAGGGACGAAGCGCAAGUGACGGUACCUGCAGAAGAAGCGCCGGCCAACUACGUGCCAGCAGCCGCGGUAAGACGUAGGGCGCGAGCGUUGUCCGGAUUUAUUGGGCGUAAAGAGCUCGUAGGCGGCUUGUCGCGUCGAAUGUGAAAUCUCGGGGCUCAACUCCGAGCUUGCAUUCGAUACGGGCAGGCUAGAGUUCGGUAGGGGAGACUGGAAUUCCUGGUGUAGCGGUGAAAUGCGCAGAUAUCAGGAGGAACACCGGUGGCGAAGGCGGGUCUCUGGGCCGAUACUGACGCUGAGGAGCGAAAGCGUGGGGAGCGAACAGGAUUAGAUACCCUGGUAGUCCACGCUGUAAACGUUGGGCGACUAGGUGUGGGGACCCUCUCCGGGUUUCUGCGCCGCAGCUAACGCAUAAGCGCCCCGC
rnacentral:rRNA from 1 species